ACAGUAGAACGGUUUGUCGCUCCGUCAUCAGGCGGAGAGGAAAGUCCGGGCAACACAGGGCAACCAUAUUUCCUAACAGGAAGUCGGCUGUGAAGUCGAAUUAGCGUAACAGAAAACAACCGCCAAGGCGUUUUUUCUCUCCUUUUUUGUGAAGCAGAAACGCAGGUAAGGGUGAAAAGGUGGGGUAAGAGCCUACCGACAGGUUUGGCAACAAACUUGUGCCGUACGCGUUAUGGGUUGAAAGUCCAAGUAAACCGACAUCUGAGGGCUGCUCGUCCAAGUCGGAGGGUAGGACGAUAGAGGCAAAUGGCAACAUCUGUCCCAGAUAAAUGACAAACAUUCCAUAAACGGAAUACAGGAUCCGGCUUAUAGUUCUACUGUUUUU
rnacentral:RNase_P_RNA from 1 species